GUACUCGGUUUGGGAGCACAUAUAAUAAAAUUGGAAUGAUGCAGAGAAGAUUAGUAUGGCCUCUGCACAAAGAUGCCAUGCAAAUAGAUGAAAGUGUUUCGUAUUUUU
rnacentral:snRNA from 1 species